CAAUUAGAUAAAGCCCUCAAGGCUCCAAAAUAACUUGUUUUUAAUAAAGCAGCGAUACAACAAGAGUCUUUGAUAUUUAUAAGACAAAAUGUUCAAGGAAAAACAUGGGAACAUAAUCCUUGACUAUAAAAGCGAUCAAGUUUAAUUUUUGUGUCCAGUGUCGCGUCAAGUCGCGUGGACUUCAAAUGUGAAUUGACCUCGAGAAAAGUCAUUUUUGAAUUGAAUUUUGUGUACAUAGUUUGGUUUUUUUGAUAACAAAAGAAAAUGGUGCAAAUGGAUCCGGUUUUAGUUACAAUGAAAAGUGUUCCGAAUGAUUUUUACACUGAUUGUGCUAGCGAGACAAACACAAACGGCAGGAUGGCCAAUCUCGGUGUCUCUCAAACAGAACUGGUUGGUCCUCGGGGAGAUUCUGGUCGCAAGUUACCUCAAUACAUAGCUGCUUUAGCAGCUACCCUUGGAGCACUAGCUGCUGGAACAAUGCUUGGUUGGUCUUCGCCAGUUGUGUUCAAAAUAACACAACCAAACAAUACAGACUACAAUUUUGACAUCAGUGAAACUGAAGGAAGCUGGAUUGGGUCUGUCAUCAACUUGGGUGCUGCUGCAAUUUGUUUUCCAAUUGGCCUGGUCAUGGAUGCUAUUGGACGAAAAAAAACUAUGCUGUUUCUCAUCCUCCCGUUCACUUUGGGCUGGCUUCUUAUAACUUUUGGUACGAGUGUCGGUAUGCUCAUAGGCGGAAGACUCAUUACCGGUAUUGCAGGAGGAGCUUUCUGUGUCACCGCACCGGCAUACACUAGUGAAAUAGCCCAAGACUCCAUCAGAGGUACCCUAGGGAGCUACUUCCAACUGAUGAUCACAGUUGGUAUUCUAUUUGCUUAUGCAGUGGGUAGUUACACAUCAGUGUUCCUUUUCAAUAUUCUUUGCACUCUGAUACCUAUUGUCUUUGGUAUUGUGUUCUUUUUCAUGCCUGAAAGUCCAAAAUUUUUGGUUGUAAAAAACAGAAACGAUGAAGCUCGAGAAGCACUAAUUAAACUACGCGGUACCAAUUACGAUGUUGACUACGAGCUGGACUCUUUGAAACUGAGCGCUGAAGAAGCACAGAACAAUCCAGUUUCAUUUGUUUCGGCUAUUACGAAGAAAACGUCUAUUAAAGCGAUAAUAAUUUGUUACGCACUGAUGAUAUUCCAACAGCUCUCUGGUAUAAAUGCGGUCAUUUUUAACACCUCAUCGAUUUUCGCUGCUGCCGGUGCCACAAUUCCGGCCGCGAUCGCGACCAUUAUCAUCGGCGUCAUCCAAGUAAUCGCCACAUUUGUAUCCAGUUUGGUUGUCGACAAAUUAGGCCGACGUAUUUUGCUUCUCUUCUCCGCUUUGGUUAUGUGCUUGUGUUCGACGGCUUUGGGGGUGUUUUUCUUCUUACAAAGUACGCACGGAGAAAAUUCUGAUAUAGUUCAAAGUCUUUUCUGGUUACCUCUUUUGUCUUUGUCUCUUUUCAUCAUCGCGUUCUCUCUUGGUUUCGGUCCGAUCCCGUGGAUGAUGGCUGGCGAUCUCUGCAAUAUUGACAUAAAGGCGUUCGUCGGUUCCACUGCCGGGACAUUGAACUGGCUGCUUAGUUUUACGGUGACCAGCACCUUCCUUGCCUUGAAUACUGCUAUUGGAUCUGGUCAGGUAUUCUGGAUGUUCGCAGGCAUCAUGUUGAUUGGUUUUGUAUUCAUUUUCUUCGUAAUACCGGAGACAAAAGGCAAGAGCCUUCAAGAAAUUCAAGUGAUGUUAGGAGCGACACCACAAGAUAGAAACGUAGAAGACAAAAAGUGAACAGACUGACAAAUAUUUGUGUAAGACGCUCGGUUAAGUUUGAAUGUCGUGCUGUUUAAUUGACAGUGUUUUUGACGUAACCCUAGUUCUUUGGUGUUUAUGUUAUUUAAGCAAUAUUUUCCUAACCAAAGAAUGUACGUGUGUCAGGAAUUUAUUAUUUAUAUUAUUUAUUACCGAUUGUCGAAAUUGAAGUUGAGAAUUUUGAUUUUGCUGAUAUUAUAGUAUCGCUUAUGAAACGUACAAAGCAUAUUAUAAAAACACAAUUUUUAAUAUAGACGACGACCCUGUUAUAAUGAUAACAUUGCAUGCACAUGAGCUUAAAUUUGGGUAAAUUAUCAGUGUUUAAAUUCAUUUUAUCGAAUUAUGUGUAUCCUUGUAAGCGGUGUGGAUGUUUUUACCUUCAUUAGCUAUCGUUAUCAAUCUGAUAUUAUUAAAUAUUUUAAAAACAAGGUACCUAAGUCUUAAAAGAUGUAGCUUUAGUUUUUUUAUUAAUUUUCCUAACGUGGUAGCUAUUAAUUUAAAAAAAAAUUGUUACGUUAAAUAAAAAUGGUAUCUAUGUAUUUCUUAACAGCCGGAUCCACACCGGACGAUCCAAGGCGCUCCGAUCCCGCGCGGCAUGGAGCGCGCUCCACGGAGCGUGAAGUGUAGACGUGCCGCGCGCGAUGCAAGUGCGCGGCGGAGAGCGCGCGCUCCUCGCCGCGUGCGAUCCAUUUGUUGUCGGUUUUUUGGUCACGCACAAAGGGGCCUUAGUCGCUUGGCGCGCGCGGUCUACGAUUUAGAAUCGCGUGAUCCGCCGUUAUGGGUAAUUCGCAAUGUAUCCGUUUAAUUUCCUUAGAUAGGGAGAAUAAAUGUUUGAUUUGCAGUCAUUCGUGCAAAAUUAGCUUCAGCUCCAUCAUCAAUUAACUCUUUGUAAAGUCGAGUCCCAUAUUCCAACCGGUUUUUAAAAAUUGUUUUAACCCAUUACUGUCUUUUUCGUUUUCGUAAUUUUUGCCGUAAAUAUAUAAGUAAAAUGUAGCUUGCUGCUGAGACGGCUAUUCGUCGCCGUCGUUGCACGUGUGACUCCAUCCAUAGCCAGACAAAAUUCAACUGAUUCAGUAAUUUCAGUAUGGAUCGGCAGGAGCGCGUUGGAGCAGCCAGUCAGGAUCGCAAAAGAUUGCUGUUGAAUCAACCUAGAACGAUCCACGCAUCACGAUCUUGAAUCGCGGAUCACGGGAUCGCCGAUCCAUUUUGGAUCGUCCGGUGUGGAUCCGGCUAAUGAGAAGGUGUUUCGAGCAUUAUGCGGAAUAUACAACUAAUGUAUAUAGCAAGAGUAAAAGUGUAUAGUAAACAAUAACUAACAUUAUUACUAAAUUGUAGGGUUUAUAUACGCCCAAAAAGUCACAGCCACAAUUAAUUUUUUCCGUGUGUUUUAAACCAAUGUUUUUUUAAGGGAUUUUAUGACCUGGUAACUAGGCCCUUUAGGUCAUGUCAUUGUAAUUUAUAUUCAUAUUUUUAUGAAAAAUGUAUGGGGUGAAAUGAAAUGAAGAUAAUUAAUUUGCGACAUUAAUCAACUGGGAUGAAAUUAAAUGAAAUGGGAUGAAAUAAAAUCUCAGUAAAAUAGUGGUCAUUUACUGAGAUUUUUUCAGUGAACUUUUUGGAGGAUCCCAAGAAGUUACGUCCAGCGGCUUUGUUACAUUUUUCCACAUUUGUGCACUUUCACUGAUAUUAAACAGCUAAUAAACCACAAUUAUUACACAUUUAAACCUAAAGAAACACUAAAUAGACAAAAUAAAACAAAUCACACAACUUCACUCCUCGCGUUCCCGCCCAAAAGUUUUCAAACCAAUGUCAUAUUCCAUAAAACAGAUUAAAUUUUGUGCCAUCUGUGGUGGUAUAGAUAGAUAGUAUCGGUUUUAAAUGCCAUUCAAAUAUUACUUUUGUAAAUAAAAUAUAUUAUGUUAGUUAAUUUAAUUAUGGAAGGGUUUAACUAUUAUUUAUUUUAUUAGAAUUAAGAAUAAAAUGUAAAUGAGACUUUUUACAGAUUAAGAUUUGUUUGAUAAAUUAACAAUUUCUUUUUCUUCUCCGUCGUUUCAUUCAUUUGUCUAUAUUCAAAAGUAAAUUAUGUUCCUAAUUAAUUAAUUAGUCUGAUAUUAAUUUGUAUGUAACAGAUGCUAAAACAAUUUGUAAAUGAAUGCGUCAAUUUUGCGUCAAGAAACACCUGUAUAUAAUAAUUCUAGCAGCAAGCUCUGCGAAUAUAAUUGUAUAAUAAUUGUAAAGGCAAUAAAAUGUAUAUUAGUAUUGAAUAAAAUUGAUAUUAUAAUAAA